CCUACGGGUGGCAGCAGUGGGGAAUAUUGGACAAUGGGGGGAACCCUGAUCCAGCCAUGCCGCGUGUGUGAAGAAGGCCCUCGGGUUGUAAAGCACUUUCAGUGAGGAAGAACGCCUGGUGGUUAAUACCCAUCAGGAAAGACAUCACUCACAGAAGAAGCACCGGCUAACUCCGUGCCAGCAGCCGCGGUAAUACGGAGGGUGCGAGCGUUAAUCGGAAUUACUGGGCGUAAAGCGCGCGUAGGUGGCUUGAUAAGCCGGUUGUGACAGCCCCGGGCUCAACCUGGGAACGGCAUCCGGAACUGUCAAGCUAGAGUGCAGGAGAGGAAGGUAGAAUUCCCGGUGUAGCGGUGAAAUGUGUAGAGAUCGGGAGGAAUACCAGUGGCGAAGGCGGCCUUCUGGACUGACACUGACACUGAGGUGCGAAAGCGUGGGUAGCAAACAGGAUUAGAUACCCCUGUAGUC
rnacentral:rRNA from 1 species